rnacentral:misc_RNA from 1 species
AAGUCGUAACAAGGUAACCGUAGGUGAACCUGCGGUUGGAUCAUUACUGAAAACUAUGAAAGUUUGCCAAUUCUAUAUUGGCAAACAAAGAAAUUCAUAACACCCCACUUGUGAACCGUUUACCGUAUUUUGUUUGGCAGCCCACCUAUUUGUACCAAAUGAAAGGGUGAGGGAAUGCAAAGGAAAAGGAAAAAGUUAAUAUUUUCUUCUUCUUCUUCUUGUGCUUCCUUAUCUGGGGCUGUCGAACGCCUAUAUAAACAAACUCGUUUUUUCUAUUUAUUUGAGUCUUUUUCUAAUUAUUUUAUAAUUAAAAAACAACUUUUGACAACGGAUCUCUUGGCUCUC